rnacentral:lncRNA from 1 species
CAAACAGGGACUGAAUGUACUUCCCUCUAUAUAUUGCAUGAGCUUGAAGUCAUUUUAGGUCACGAUACACAGUCUCAAAAAUGGCAAAGAUAAUGCUUCUGUUAGCAGCCAUGUUUAUUUUUCUGAUGUUUUAUUCUCCGGGACUCGCCUACGGUGAUAACCGGCUCGUUAGAGGAAUGAAGAAAAUGAGAGAGGAGUUGCCAUUUCUGGAGAAGAAAGUCGGAUUUUUGCAUGGCAUACAUAAACAUGGAAGUUUUAGACAACACAGAAAAGAGUUAAGGGAGAAAUGCAAUCCCAAAUUGGAAGCAGAAGUGGAUGAUACAAGGCCAACAGCCCCAGGGCAUAGCCCAGGUAUAGGACAUCAUGGAUAAUUGGAUUUUCACUUUGAAGAAAAAAUUCUGAAUUUCAAGCUUUUAUUAUUGUCAAGAAUAAGAGAUCAUGUAAAUUUGUGGGUUUUCAAGUUGAAUUUAUUUUAUUUGGACUAAAAUAAUUAGUGUGACUUGCUGAAUUAUUUCAAAUGCAUGGUGUGUAAAGCAUGAAUUUUAUGGGAUAUUGAUAUAUUUGGG